UACGGGGGGGCAAGCGUUGUUCGGAAUUACUGGGCGUAAAGAGCUCGUAGGCGGCUCGUUGCGUCGGCUGUGAAAACCCGCAGCUUAACUGUGGGCCUGCAGCCGAUACGGGCGGGCUGGAGUUCGGUAGGGGAGACUGGAAUUCCUGGUGUAGCGGUGAAAUGCGCAGAUAUCAGGAGGAACACCGGUGGCGAAGGCGGGUCUCUGGGCCGAUACUGACGCUGAGGAGCGAAAGCGUGGGGAGCGAACAGG
rnacentral:rRNA from 1 species